rnacentral:rRNA from 1 species
GCACAGAGAGCUUGCUCUCGGGUGACGAGCGGCGGACGGGUGAGUAAUGUCUGGGAAACUGCCUGAUGGAGGGGGAUAACUACUGGAAACGGUAGCUAAUACCGCAUAAUGUCGCAAGACCAAAGUGGGGGACCUUCGGGCCUCAUGCCAUCAGAUGUGCCCAGAUGGGAUUAGCUAGUAGGUGGGGUAACGGCUCACCUAGGCGACGAUCCCUAGCUGGUCUGAGAGGAUGACCAGCCACACUGGAACUGAGACACGGUCCAGACUCCUACGGGAGGCAGCAGUGGGGAAUAUUGCACAAUGGGCGCAAGCCUGAUGCAGCCAUGCCGCGUGUGUGAAGAAGGCCUUCGGGUUGUAAAGCACUUUCAGCGGGGAGGAAGGCGUUAAGGUUAAUAACCUUGGCGAUUGACGUUACCCGCAGAAGAAGCACCGGCUAACUCCGUGCCAGCAGCCGCGGUAAUACGGAGGGUGCAAGCGUUAAUCGGAAUUACUGGGCGUAAAGCGCACGCAGGCGGUCUGUCAAGUCGGAUGUGAAAUCCCCGGGCUCAACCUGGGAACUGCAUUCGAAACUGGCAGGCUAGAGUCUUGUAGAGGGGGGUAGAAUUCCAGGUGUAGCGGUGAAAUGCGUAGAGAUCUGGAGGAAUACCGGUGGCGAAGGCGGCCCCCUGGACAAAGACUGACGCUCAGGUGCGAAAGCGUGGGGAGCAAACAGGAUUAGAUACCCUGGUAGUCCACGCCGUAAACGAUGUCGAUUUGGAGGUUGUGCCCUUGAGGCGUGGCUUCCGGAGCUAACGCGUUAAAUCGACCGCCUGGGGAGUACGGCCGCAAGGUUAAAACUCAAAUGAAUUGACGGGGGCCCGCACAAGCGGUGGAGCAUGUGGUUUAAUUCGAUGCAACGCGAAGAACCUUACCUGGUCUUGACAUCCACAGAACUUUCCAGAGAUGCWUUGGUGCCUUCGGGAACUGUGAGACAGGUGCUGCAUGGCUGUCGUCAGCUCGUGUUGUGAAAUGUUGGGUUAAGUCCCGCAACGAGCGCAACCCUUAUCCUUUGUUGCCAGCGGUUMGGCCGGGAACUCAAAGGAGACUGCCAGUGAUAAACUGGAGGAAGGUGGGGAUGACGUCAAGUCAUCAUGGCCCUUACGACCAGGGCUACACACGUGCUACAAUGGCAUAUACAAAGAGAAGCGACCUCGCGAGAGCAAGCGGACCUCAUAAAGUAUGUCGUAGUCCGGAUUGGAGUCUGCAACUCGACUCCAUGAAGUCGGAAUCGCUAGUAAUCGUAGAUCAGAAUGCUACGGUGAAUACGUUCCCGGGCCUUGUACACACCGCCCGUCACACCAUGGGAGUGGGUUGCAAAAGAAGUAGGUAGCUUAACCUUCGGGAGGGCGCUUACCACUUUGUGAUUCAUGACUGGGGUGAAGUCGUAACAAGGUAACCGU